rnacentral:lncRNA from 1 species
GCCCAGUUCAUUACAGACUUUCCAGAAAGACAAAAGCUGUAGCAAACACAAAACCGUCCUCUUCCUGCCGGUGUCUCCCUGCAAAUGCCUGCUGCGAUCCACACAAGCUAAUUUACAGAGACGAAGACAGCACACAGGCAGUCGCCUGUGUCCAGGAGCCGCCCAUGGCCAUGGGGACGGUGGCUUCCGUUAGGUUCUGACUCUGCAGGGGAAGCUCACAGGAGGGCCUCCGGGCAGCUGUGCUGUUCCUUUUCCACUUAAGAGGCUGCAGGCUUCCCCAAUCUCACAAAAACGCGUUCACUUGCCCCACUCACACCAACUUGUAACCCAGUUUUGGCAAACCAGCCCUUGCCACUGAGCAGUGGCUACCCUCGAGUACAGACAAGCAAGCCACCUCCCAGCUUCACCCACCUACGUCAUCCUUCCAACACUUCAAGUUGUGAAAGAUUGCAUCUGAUUUAUGCUAAGUAUGCAAUAAAGUGUUUAUGCCCACUACAGCAACCCCCUGGUGGCAGCGAAGCUCCUCAACAUCCCCAGGA